GCGCAGCGCUGUUUCGUGGGACCAGGAUUGAAACAAGAUGGCGGGCUCGUGGUGAGAAGCCGUCAAGGAGUAGAAAUUGGUAUUUUUAGAAGCAGAUUCUAAAAGCAGUUUCUCUUCGAAACAUCUUUUUUCAUACCACUUGAUAAGCAUCUUGAAACACCAUGGCUGUAACUGCAGUAAAAUGGGUGAUGUCAAAGAGAACUAUCUUGAAACAUUUAUUUCCAGUCCAAAAUGGAGCUUUAUAUUGUGUUUGUCGUAAAUCUACGUAUUCUCCUCUACCAGAUGACUAUAAUUGCAACGUAGAGCUUGCUCUGACUUCUGAUGGCAGGACAAUAGUAUGCUACCACCCUUCUGUGGACAUUCCAUAUGAACACACAAAACCUAUCCCUCGGCCAGAUCCUGUGCAUAAUAAUGAAGAAACACAUGAUCAAGUGCUGAAAACCAGAUUGGAAGAAAAAGUUGAACACCUUGAGGAAGGACCUAUGAUAGAACAACUUAGCAAAAUGUUCUUUACUACUAAGCACCGUUGGUAUCCUCAUGGACGGUAAGUUUUCUUUUCUUUUCUUCAAUCUCUACUACAUAGAGUAAAGGAACACAUGGAUUUUCUUGCAAUAACAAACUUCUGAAGUGGUGUUUUGCAUGAGGAAAUUAACCCCAAGUAGAAUCACCUACUAUGUUGUACUUUUUUUUUCUUUCCUGAGACAGGAUCUCGCUGUGUCACCCAGGCUGGAGUGCAGUGCCACAGUCUCAGCUCACUGCAGCCUCAACUUCCAGUGCUCAAGUGAUCUUCACACUUUAGCCUUCCGAGUAGCUAGUACUACAGGCAUUUACCACCACACCCGGCUAAUUUUUGUAUUUUUAGUAAAGGCAGGAUUUCGCCAUGUUGGCCAGGCUGGUCUUGAACUCCUGACCUCAAGCGAUCCACCCACCUCGGGCUCCCAAAGUGCUAAGAUUACAAGCAUGAGCCACCACGCCCAGACAACAUCCUUAACAAAGAGAAAAUACUCCAGAGAAGAUUUAACCAAAAAAAGUCACCUAAAAAUGUAAAUAUAACAUUAACAGAUACCUAAUAAACUAUAAUUAUAUGCAGUUGUGCUAAGAGGGACAGUAGAUACUCAAAGUGAAUAUAAAAAAGUAAAAUGUCAUGAAGAAAGUAAGAUAAGAGCAAAUAGCAGAGGAAGAGUAAAAGUGCUGAAAACUGAGGGAUAAAGCAUUUGAAAUAGCUUGAUGUUGAAAUGAGAUAGGGCACUGAGGUCAGAUUAGGUAAAAAAAAAAAAAAAAAAAAAAGGCAAGCUCCAACUAUAUGCUGCCUAUAAGAAAUCCACUUUAAAAAUAAAGACAGCCAGGUUAAAAGUAAUACAGAAAUGACAAAGGUGACAUCACAACCAAUCCCAGAGAAAUACAACAGAUUCUCAGAGACUAUUUUUUUGGGGGGGGGUUUGGGGGCGGGUGGGGACGGAGUUCUGCUCUUGUCCCCCAGCCUGGAGUGCAAUGGCACAAUCUAGGCUCACUGUAACCUCCGUCUCCCAGGUUCAAGUGAUUCCUCAGAGACUAUUAUUAGGAACACUUCAAGCACACAACUAGAAAAUCUAGAGGCAAUGGACAAAUUCCUGAAGACAUACAACCUCGCAUGUUUGAAUCAGGAAGAAACUGAAACCCUGAACAGAUGAAUAAUGAAUUCUGAAACUGAAUCAGUAAUAAAAAAACAACAACCAAAAAGCUCUGGACCAGACAGAUCCACAGCUGAAUUCUACCAGAUGUGCAAAGAGCCAGUACCAAUCCUACUGAAACUAUUCCCCCAACAACAACAACAACAAAAAAUCGAGGAGGAAGGACUCCUCCCCAACUCAUUCUACAAAAACGGCAUCAUCCUGAUACCCAAAUCUGACAGAGACAUAACAAAAAAACAAAACUAUGGGCCAGUAUCCCUGAUAAACAUGGAUGCUAAAAUCCUCAACAAAAUACGAGCAAACCAAAUCUAGCAGCACAUCAAAAAAUUAAUUCACCAUGAUCAAGCAGGCUUUCUGCCUGAGAUGCAAGGCUGAUUCAAGAUACGCAAAUAAAUAAAUGUGAUACAUCACAUAAACAGAAUUAAAAACAAAAAACAUAUGAUCAUUUCAGUAAACACAGAAAAAAACUUUCAAUAAAAUCCAACAUCCCUUCAUGAUGAAAAUCCUCAACAAACUAGGCAUUGAGGGAACAUACUCCAAAAUAAUAAGAGCCAUUUAUGACAAACCCACAGCCAACAUACUGAACAAGCAAAAGCUGAGAUCAUUUCCUUUAAGAACAGAAACAAGACAAGGAUGCCCACUCUCACUACUCCUAUUCAACAUAGUACUGGGGAAGUCCUAGCCAGAGCAAUCAGGCAAGAAAAAAAAAAAAAAGGCGUCCACUCAGGAAAAGAAAAAGUCAAAUAAUCUCUCUUCACUGGUUCUUGUAAUUUUUCUGUUGAAAAUCCUCAAAUAACUUCCUAUCUCACUCAGAAACACUCUAGGCCUACAACUACCUACAUGAUUUGGUCCUGCAUUACUUCUCUGCUCUCAUGCCCUACUGUCUUUUCCUUGUUCAUGUAUUCUGGCUACAUGGCCUCUUUUUUGCUUUUGAACAUGUCCUUCCCUCCACCUCAGGGCUUUUAUACUUGCUGUUUGUCUGCAUAGAACACUCUUUCUCACAGUUAUCAGUAAAGCUAGCUCUCUUCCUUCCUUCAGGUUUUUACUCAAUGAAGGCUUCCCUGACCAGCUUAUUCAUCUUAUUUUCCUAUCUCCUGUAUUGGAAUGUAAGAUCCAUGAAAGUCGGGAUUUUUAUCUUGUUUUGUGUACUACAGAAUCAUUAGGAUCUACACAUAGUAGGUGCUCACACAUUUUAAAAUGGAUAAAUGAUUCUGAUUCUCAUAAUAACUUUUUUUUUUUUUUUUUUUUCUUUUGAGACAGGGUCUUGCCCUGUCACCCAAACUGGAAUGCAGUGACCUGAUCUCGGCUCACUACAACCUUCGCCUCCCAGGUUCAAGAGAUUCUCCUGCCUCAGCCUCCUGAGUAGCUGGGACUACAGAUGCAUACCACCAUGCCUGGCUACUUUUUAAAUUUUUUGUAGAGAUGCGGUUUCACCAUGUUGCCCAGGCUGGUCUCAAACUCCUGGGCUCAAUUGAUCUGCCCACCUUGGCCUACCAGAGUGCUGGAAUUACAGGGAUGAGCCACUGUGCCCAGCCCCCACGAUUUUUAGAAAUUAGCUGGGCAUGGUGGUGCAUGCCUGUAGUCCUACCUACUCAGAAGACUGAGAUGGGAGGAUCACUUGAGCCCAGGAGCUUGAGGGUGCAAUGAGCUAUGAUUGUGUCAUUACACUCCAUCCUGGGUGUUAGAGCAAGACCGUGACUCUAAGAAAGAAAGGAGGAGAGAAAAAGAGAGGGGGUGGGGGGAGGGAGGGAGGCAGGCAGGCAGGCAGGAAGGAGAAAAUAAUUCUAAAUUUCUGAAAUAUAGGGCAAUCUUACAAAUGCAUGAAUAAUAGUACCACUUUAUUUAAGAAACUACUUUAAUAUUUUCCCAUGGAGACAACAAAAAUUAGCUACUUCCAUCAGUAGGAAACAGAUUUGAUUACCUAGCUUAGUAUGAACCAGGAGGUAAAAGUUUUCUGGGUUAAGAGCUGUAGACCAGUGUUCCAGAUGUCACUGAGUCAUUGUGUAAUCUAAGAAGUGUAACAAUAUAACUUGGUUUGCCAGGAGCAAUCUCAAUUUAACUCUUAUAUUAAUUAAUAGUGUCUGCAAGGUUCCCAAUCUGGAUGAUAGAAUAAGGUCAUCGUAAAAUUAAGGUGCUUGCUUUUGGCUAGUGAUUGUAGUGCACAUUAAAAAUCAUGCAUGAUAAGAUAUGUGUAAAUGCUAUUUGACAUUUAUUGAGCAUAUUUUAGAACUUGACUUUGUUCAGUUUAUGGCUAUCAGAGUCUCAAACAUUUUCAGUCUUGAGUAGUAAAUAUAGUUGAACAGUGUAUGCUGAAUGACACUUUUAAUGGAUAGUUCUUAGCAUUCUGAAGGUCUCAUACUUCAUUGAGAGUCUGAUAAAAGUUUUGAAUGCACUGCCCAGAAAAACACCUAUUCAAAAUUUUUACAAAUAAUUUCAAGAGGUUAGUGACUUCCCAAACUCCUUCUAGAACCGCUAUUCUGAUGACCGUUCUCCCUGCUUUGAGAGAAUGCCUUUCAGAGACACUAUUGUACUAGUACAACCUUGAUUAUCUGGUAUGUCAAUGGAACCUUUUAGAAAAAAACAGAAUUUUCUCUAUGCCAACAUAAGUACAUGUAGAAAUGUUUAUGCAGAUGGUAUUUUACUGUGUGUAUUUUUUGACAGCUUACUGUUCCAUGUUAGUAUAGACAGCUGUACUUCAUUCAUUUCAACUUAAUUCCUGUAUUUUGCAAAUUUUCAAAAAUAAAAUCAGUGUAUCAGGAAGUUGCCUAUAUGAAACCUGAAGCAAAAAAAUGCUUUAGAUAUCUUAAUCACAACAACUAAAGAUCACAGGGUACAUGUCUUACCAUUUAUAGUAUAAAACUGAAUUUCCACAUUAGCAAAAAAUUGAAAACAAAAAUUAACUUGUGACCAACUUGCCAAAAUCUGACCAGAAGGAAAUUUUUGAAGGUAACUCAUCACAAAAACACAUGUACUCUGUGCAGAAAUGUUUCUUAAAUCAGUAAAGAAAAUAAGGAAAUGCAGAGGAGCAAAAAGAAUUCUCCAUGGUGAAAUCUCUCAAAAACUAUCACUGCUGACAAUGCAUUUCAUUUCUCUAUAUCUAUACAUAAGUUUUGUUAGUUUGCCUAUUUUUACAUGGUUAUCAUCAUACUGUAUAUGUAAAUUUUCUCCUGUGUUCUUCCUUAAUAUUUUAACUACUUUUUCUAUAUUCCUUUGGGACAGAGUGCUAGAAGAGGAAUUAUUAGGUCAAAAAUUAUGAAUAUUUCUUGAUACAUCUUACCAUACUGCUUUUCAAAAGUAUUUUGAAGUAAAAGUUUAUACUUUUAACCAGUCGGGUCUCAUACUGCUAAUUUCACCACACCUGUGCUUGGAUUGGGCAUUAUGAUUUUUAACAUGUUUGUGAUCUCAAAAACAAAAGGUUCCUCACUGUUCUGAUUUGCAGUCCCUCCAUUUUGCAUGACAUUACACAUUUUUCCACAGACAUAUUACUAGUUUUAUUUUAUAUUAAAACAUGAUUUUGCAUUUAUAGAGACCUCCAUUUAGAGGACAAUAGCCCCUUGUAAAUAAAACUUUUAACAGAACACGUUCAUGUUCACGAUGUGAUGUUUCUUUAUGUUUUGGAAGCCUAAAUGUCACCAGAUGUGAUAUUUCUUCACUACUAAGACAAAAAACCAUUAGUUUUUAUCAAAAUCAGUCAUCUGGGUUACCAUGUUGAAAUUAUCCUCAAGAUAUGAAAGAAAACUGUUUCAAAUGCUUAAUUUAAUUAAUAGUCAACAACUUAGCCACGUGUGGUGGUGUGCCUGUAGUCCCAGCUACUAGGCAGGGUAAGGUAGGAGGAGCCCUUGUGCCAGGAGUUUGAGGCUGUAGUACACUAUUAUUGAGCUUAUGAAUAACCUCUGCACUUCAGCCUGGGCAAUAAAGCAAGACCCAGUCUCUAGAAAAAAAAAAUGAUUAGGUAAAGAAAAGAAAACAAAUUUUCACAAUGGGAGAAUGUGGUUUAUUACUAAGAAAUGACUGAUACGUAGUUUCAUUGAUUUUUUAAAAAAAUAGUUCCAAUAGCAAAAUAAUCAUAGAAGUUAGAUUUUUAUCAGGAAUAAUUUUUAUUAA